GGUCGCGGUCUCGGGCCCGCCCCGGCCCGGGGAGGAGCGGGGGCCACGCCGUCCCGCCCCUUCUGCGUCUCCGCCUUCAGUUCCGAGCUCUGUGGCCCUGGUACUCCUUUGGAUCCUGUUGCUGGUGUCGUCUGUGCCUCUCCUUUAUUGUCCCCAGCUGGCUGAAUCAGAGGCUUAAUUCAUCUUGUUUCUGAUUAAGUUUGAUCCUGUGAGAGAUGACUACUGGCAGAAAAAUGAAGAAUGAAAGUAGAAAUGAGCACAUAACCACAAGGCUAUAUCACUACCUCUCAAAAAGAAGAUUCACUGGGCAUAGUUCUUACAGGAUGGAUUACAAGAAGACUGAGAGUGGAAGCAGAGAGAUUAAUGAGUUUUUAAAAACCUGAGCUUGGAGCCUAGUUAAAAGAAGAAGGAACUAGAAAAAGGUUAAGGAAAAAACCCUCAACAAAAUAGAUGGAACUACAACUAAGGAGUGGAAAAAUCUCAAGAAAAAAACUUGUGUUCAAAUCAGCAAAUCACCAUGCCUGCAAAGAAAGGGUACAUGGUCUUGACAUUAUGGGCCAAUUAGUUAAAAGUACACUUAAGACCCAAGAUAACUUAUCUUAUGAAAAAUUUCUGAAUUUUAGAGAUGAAAAUUUCUGAAUUUUUAGGGCAAAUAAGUGAUUUAUUUAAAUGUGUUCCAUUACAAGGUGACAGUAAAGGAGAAUAAAUCACCUAGAAUAGUUAACUUAUGCCUGGCAUGCAGUGUUAAAUAGCAUACCAUGACCUAAGUCUUAAUUCUGUCUUAUGUCAUAUUCUUAAUAAAAAACUAGUAGAUAGCAUAGUCCAGCCUAAAGCUUAAACAAAACUGACUACACCACUCCCCUGAAAGAAUGGCAUCCAUAAACAGUGAAUCCUGGAACACUGAAAAAAUAAAAUUAAAUUAAAAAACAAAGCAAAACACAGAUACUGCAAAAUAAACAAACAAAAACGACAACAAAAAAACCACGAAAGAAUGGCAUCCCUAGCUCCUGAGUACCAACUUUGAGAAUUCUCUUGAGGACUCAUGAAGGGGCAGGGUAAGGGUCUAUGUUCAAUACCAUUAAUGAACGGAUAAAUAAGGAUAUGUUUUUUAAGUUUCCAAAUUUUAUUAGAUUCAUGAUUACUUACAUACUAAGAAAAGAAUUCAAAAGCUGCAGGACUACAAUGGUCAUUAAAAAGUAAAAGGAAAUCCUAAUGACAUGGAAACUGAAUGAGUUGGUGUGUCUGUUUACAAAUUUAAUAGUAUCAAAAAGAAUUUAACAGUUUAUUGAAAACAUUUUACUUCACUACUGUCUACUGGAGACAUUGUUUAGUUUGAGAUUCUACAUUUAUAAAAAAUAAUAGACUAAGCAGACAACAAAGAAAAUCACUAGAAUCCAACCAACCAACUAACAGAAAUUCCAAUUUACUGAGUAAGAAAAAAGAUUUCAUCAGAAGAGAAAGUAAAAAUGGAAACUGCCCUUUCAAAUAAAAAUGGCUAAUAUAAGGCAAAAGCUGUAUGUUUUUUUUCUUAUUCAUCCUCUCAGCAAUUAUUAAGCACGUACUAUAUGCCAUGAGGAUACAAAAAAGAGAAACUGAGUUUAAAUGGUCAUAAAAAGAAAAAUUACAGAAA